CUAUUCCAUAUAAUUUGUUUAAUCCAUCAUUCUAAAUAUAAUUAACUAUUUCAAUAAUUGCAUGUUUUGACGAAAUAGAGGUUUAUUAUUACAUUCAACUAAUCUUUUUUGACUUUGAUCAGUAUUUAAUUUUGUUGUAAUGGAUAUCAUUUACCACCAGUGGUUUAUAGAUAACUUUGCUGUAUCUUUCAUUUUUGAGUAAAGAACUAAGUGGUUGUUUUUUUUUUUAAUACGUUCUCUGUCUACUUUUUGUACGAAGUGUUCUGAAAAGUACCCUAGGAGUCGGUUCGCCAAAAUCUGUUACAAUUUGUUAACAGUGUUUUUAAAAGUAUUCUAAAUUGUCACCAUUUUUGGUUGCAUAAUGUGACUAACACUACUAUGCAGGUAUACUGGAAAACAACAACAACAACAACAGUAAUGCAAGGCUGCGCCAAAAUGUAUUAAUGUGGACUACAGAUAGUAAAAAGGCAUAUAAAUAAGACUUAUAUAAAAGUGCAAAAUAAAAUAAAAUAUAGAAAAUAGUCCAAAAAGAUUUAGAAGUUGCACUGUGGCAAUAGAGGUC